UACGUAGGUGACCAGCGUUGUCCGGAUUUACUGGGCGUAAAGAGCGCGCAGGCGGUCGUUCAAGUCGAGUGUGAAAGCCCCCGGCUCAACUGGGGAGGGUCAUUCGAUACUGAUCGACUCGAAGGCAGGAGAGGGAAGCGGAAUUCCCGGUGUAGUGGUGAAAUGCGUAGAGAUGUGGAGGAAUACCGAUGGCGAAGGCAGCCCCCUGGGACGUGACUGACGCUCAAGCACGAAAGCGUGGGGAGCAAACAGG
rnacentral:rRNA from 1 species